AUAGGGGGACAUUCGUCCGGUGCCGGCCCCAUGGCCGGAGAAUCGGGAACGCGGUGGAAUUCCGCGACGUGCCCAACGCUGUAAGGGGGACCGACCGGCGAUAGCCACUGGCCUUGGCCGGGAAGGUGCCGGUUCGGGACGAACCCAAGUCAGAAGACCGGCCGGACGAGGAUGGCCCUUC
rnacentral:ncRNA from 1 species